AACCUUAUGGACCUGCGGGCGUAUACCUGCGGAGGGAUCAUUAACCUUUCAAAUCAGGGUGCGGCGCGGCCCCCGAGGAGCGGAAACAAUCCUUGGGAGGUAUGCGGGGGCUUCGAGCCCCCCAUUUACGCACGCACGACUGCCAUCCUUACUUUACGAGCACCUUCUGUUCUCCCUCGGCGGGGCAACCUGCCGUUGGAACCGAAUAAACUCUUUUUGCAUCUAGCAUUACCUGCUCCG
rnacentral:misc_RNA from 1 species